rnacentral:rRNA from 1 species
UACGUAGGUGGCAAGCGUUGUCCGGAUUUACUGGGUGUAAAGGGCGUGUAGCCGGGCUGACAAGUCAGAUGUGAAAUCCGGGGGCUCAACCCCCGAACUGCAUUUGAAACUGUUGGUCUUGAGUAUCGGAGAGGCAGGCGGAAUUCCUAGUGUAGCGGUGAAAUGCGUAGAUAUUAGGAGGAACACCAGUGGCGAAGGCGGCCUGCUGGACGACAACUGACGGUGAGGCGCGAAAGCGUGGGGAGCAAAUAGG